rnacentral:SRP_RNA from 1 species
CGCACUAGUCGGGGAGUUAGCGGUGCCCUGUACCUGCAACCCGCUGCAGCAGGGAUGAAUCCCGGCCCCCGGACUUCCACCGUGCCGUCUGACCUGCGUAAGCGGCGAUGAGGAAUCGGUCCUGCGCAAGGCUGCCCCGUGAACCGUGUCAGGCGGGGAACCGAGCAGCACUAAGCGGAACGCAGUCUGUGCCGCAGGGUGCCCGUUUCCGAGCCGGCUGCGCCGGUAACGGGCAUGGU